AUUGAACGCUGGCGGCAGGCCUAACACAUGCAAGUCGAACGAGUGGCGGACGGGUGAGUAAUGUCUGGGAAACUGCCUGAUGGAGGGGGAUAACUACUGGAAACGGUAGCUAAUACCGCAUACCAUCAGAUGUGCCCAGAUGGGAUUAGCUCGGUGGUGGGGUAACGGCUCACCAAGGCGCCGAUCCCUAGCUGGUGUUAGAGGAAGACCCGCCACACUGGAACUGAGACACGGUCCAGAUGCCUACGGGAGGCAGCAGGUGGGAAUAUUGCACAAUGGGCGCAAGCCUGAUGCAGCCAGGCCGCGUGUAGGAAGAAGGCCUUCGGGUUGUAAAGUACAUUCAGCGGGGAGGCGUUACCCGCAGAAGAAGCACCGGCUAACUCCGUGCCAGCAGCCGCGGUAAUAC
rnacentral:rRNA from 1 species